ensembl:lncRNA
CCCACAUGUACCAGAAAUGCUGAGUCAUGGCCUGAAGCAGUGAUUGAGCACCUGGUGGGAAGGCAGGGCCAAACCAAUGGAGCUCAGGUGUAUGCAGUGCAUCUGAGAGACCAGAAGGGCUGGAGCCAGGAUCCACCCCUUCUCAGACCUCAUUUAAGGGUUGGCAUUGGAGUAUCUUUCUGGAGAUUCCUGCCUCCUGGAGCUACCCCCCUGAAGGACUCUACAGCUAAAGCAGUGUAAAGGAGAAGGAAAAAAAAAAAAGAGCAAAGGAAAGACAUGCUCUACUUUUAACAUCUGAACUUCAGUAUUCUGUUUCUGGUUACCUUAAAGUAUGUGCUGCACAUUCAUUUGUGCAGAGACUUUCCAACCUCAGCAUCCCAAUCUUGGGGCUUUGUAUCCACCCAGUAGAGCCUGUGCAAUCCAGUCAGUGCCAAGAUUCCCACCAGGCAUCUUAAAAAAAAGGGGCAGAGGGAGAGCUGUAUUAUUCCUCCUACUUAUACUUUGGCCCUCUAUAGCAAAAGAAUCUUAAAUCAUCUGAGCAAGGACCAUUGGGCAUGUGCUGGCAGAGCCUCGACCCACCAUCUCAUCAUUGUGUUCCUGGAUUGAGGUAGAGGAGGCAAAUAAUACAUUUCCACAGGCAGAAACAUCUUUUUGAGCAGAGCCACAAGCGAAAACCACAUUCUUUCCAAGCAAUUCUGCUGCAUCUCCAACUGAAUGCAGUGCAACCAGGACUUCCAUUUCUACACUAUUAUCCAAGAAGUUGUCUUUAAAAAAAAAAAAAAGACACAAAGAACUGGCCAGCCCAGACCUCAGGGGCCAGUCCCUCAGCUGGUGUGAAUUAGUCAAGCUCCUUCAAUACAAUUACAGUCACUGGCUCCAACUGAAAAGCUACUGUAGAAAAAUGGGAGACUCAGAAGUCAGUAUCAGGGUCCAGAUUUUAAAUCCCCUUCCUAGCCAGGCUUCCAGAUGGUACCAAUUGCCUCAGACAUCCCAGAAAAUAUAGCCAGAUUUCUCAAGACCCCCCUAUUUUGAUGCACUGGUUGGUGGUCAAGCACAGGGAACAAUCUGACACCUCUUGUUUCAAGAAAGUGGAGGAAGAAAUAAGAUGAAGGCAUUUUGCUAUUGCUGUGGCUUCCAGAUGGUGACCAACGUUAAACCAGUAUCUAAUUUGAAUUAGUGGGCUCUUGUCAUCAGCCCCUUCCUCUCUCCUCUUCUAUGGUAAAGACAUCAGAAGAAACUUGCCAAAGCUAGUGAAAAGGCUGACAAUCUUCAUAAAGAAGGUCUUUGUAUGCAAAGCUUGAAGAGGAAGCACAACUUAGGACCCAUUUAAAAAAAAAUCCAUUACCAAAAGAAGAUGUUUGCAAGUUUUUUCCAAGUGUUUCACUUGGUCUGGAUGGUUUUAUUUUUCCUGCAGUGCUGUGAGUGUGGUGCUGACUGUCUUGCAGUGAGAGAUUAGCCAGGGCAACUGCCAGAGUGUCAUGAAGAAAUGGGGGAAUGGGUCCAUAGAGCAGGGGAGCUCAUC